GGUUUCGAGAACAGUUCAAACAAUGGUUUGCCCAGCAACUAGACAGGCAGUUUUUCCAGAGGUACCAGGUGGGACGUUCAGCAAAACGCUACGGUUCACAUUCAGAUGUGAUGCGGGUGAUCAAGGU
rnacentral:rRNA from 1 species